rnacentral:rRNA from 1 species
AUGUCAGUGUGCCUACUUGAUCGAGACCGGAUCGCUUCUUUCUAUGAGAAAAAAAUUCAGGAUGUUCAUGAGCUGCAGGGCGGUCUAGCUAAAUUAUCUUUUGAGUGCCGUCUGGAUCGCUAUCUUGAUCCAUGCGCAUGUGUCUUCUCCCGUCUGUGUGUGAGAGAGUGUAGUUCGUUUGCAUUUGGAAGUUUCGAAAGAAUAACAAGUAGUAUGACUGUACUGUACAUUUAUGUUUGUAAUGAACAAAUAUAUGCCUACAUAAGCCACCGUCCUGCAUUCUUGUUCAGCUUUUUCUUGCUGUUACCGUUGGUACCCGGCAAGUGUCAGCUGCCCAACCUACCUACGACUAAGCGAAGAAAUGGAGGUUUAUAA